GUUGAAUGUGGCUUGAGCCUUGACACUUUUAUUCUGAGGUUCCAGCUAGCCCUAAGCAGGAAUUUCUGAGAUGGAUAUGUCUCAUUGAUCUUGGAUUUGAUCUGCAGCUAUAAGUUACAAAAGAGGGAGGUCUUACUGUGAAAUACAUCAGAAUAUUUUGUGUUGAUUGAAACUUUGUGCUCAUUUUAGUUUCUUAUCAUUUCCACUUAAGACUGUGUGCUUCCCGUUUUACAACAGAAAAGCAGCAUUCACACAUCUUGAAUCACAAGUUGCCUCAAGAUGCAAAAGCCUCAAUAAAGGGACAAUCUGAAUUAUUAGUAUAAAAAGAAACCUCCUUUAAUUAAAACAGCAAAACCCCAUGCAACUCCAAAAUGGAAGUACUAUUGUUAUCUCCGUUUACAAAUUAGGAAACUGAGGCACAGAUAUGCUCUUGGGUACUUGUCAGCAGCAGUUGUUCUACAAGUUAAAUAUCUGGAUAUCUUAAAUCUCAGAUGAGCGUCUUAGCCUCUGGAUUACUGCUCAAUGAGGAAAGCUAUGAAAUGCAUGGAUAACUUGCUAAUCAGUAUUUGCCAUAUGUGCUAGCAGCAUCAGCAUCAGUUGGGAGAUUAUGGUGGCCUCCAUGUCAGACCUCCUAAAUCGGAAUAUCAGAGAAGGUGGCCCAGGUUACCAUGCUUCAUCUGCCAAUGCAUUGAAAACUUGGAAUGUAAAUUAAUUCAACCAUUGUGGAAGAUGGUGUAGUGAUUCCUCAAAGACCUAGAAGCAGAAAUAUCAUUUGAUCCAGAAAUCCCAUUACUGUGUAUACACCCAAAGGAAUAUAAACCAUUCUAUUACAAAGAUACAUGCGUGCGUAUGUUCAUUGCAGCAUUAUUCACAAUAGUAAAGACAUAGAGUCAACCCAAAUGCCCAUCAAAGACAAACAAUAUGUGGUACAUAUACACCAUGGAAUACCAUGCACCCAUAAAAAGGAACAAGAUCACAUUUUUUGUAGGGACAUGGAUGGAGCUGGAAGGCAUUGUCCUCAGCAAAAUAACAUAGGAACAGAAAACCAAACACCCCAUGUCCUCACUUAUAAGUGGGAGGUAAACAAUGAGAACACAUGGACACAGGGAGAGGAACAACACACAUUGGGGCCUGUUGGAGGGUGGGGUGGGGGAGAGAGAGCAUUAGGAAAAGUAGCUAACUCAUGCUGGGCUCAAUGCGUAGGUGAUGGGUUGAUAGGUGCAGCAAACCACCAUGGCACAUGGUUACCUAUGUAACAAGCCUGCACAUCCUGCACAUGUACCCCAGAACUUAAAAUAAAAAUAAAAAUUUAAAAAAACUC
rnacentral:lncRNA from 10 species